rnacentral:lncRNA from 1 species
UUCCUUCCAAGCACCACAGUUGAAGAAACAUUUUUUCUUUUUAGCCUUAUGCAAAUGGUAAAUUCACAACAGCACAGAGGUAUCUAAAAAAUGAAAAAAUGUGUCUCCUCUCCUCUUCCCCCACUAAUCUCUCUUUCCAAAAGGCUCGCCAGUGCAGAGAGACAGACGGACGGACACAGAGAGCAGAGGCUCGCCAGUGCGGGGUAGGAGACCUGAACCGUGACUGAGGAACUGCUGGAAGUUCAGUGUUGACUGAGAAUUCCAGGGUUCCAGGCAACCCCGUCAUUCGGGCCCCCACAUCACUGCGAGAUUUACCUCAGGAGCUCCGCCAGGCUCCCACAAAAGAAGAGGUGUGGUGAACAUCUUUAAACAUGGAUCCUUCCUGGCGUGCUUUUCAAGUGUGCUCUUGGUUAAGUUCUGAGCACAAUUACUGGGCCAAAGAACUGGUGGAGCUCUGAGAAGGUACCUCUGUGCCUGAUGUCACUGGGAUUGCCCUGCGUGCUCUCUGCUGCAGCUGCACGCCUGCCCGUGGUCCUGCCCUGCCACCCUGCUUUGGGCAGUGUCUGGGGCUUGGUUGGAGAGCCCGUCCUUGUCUCCUGGAGUCCCUCAUGUACCUCUGUUAAAUUCCCAGGCUGCUUGGCGUGACCAGCUUUCCCCUUGAUCUGAUUGCAUCUGCUUCAUUUCUUUCAGGAAUUCCUUUGUAAAUUUGGUUCUGUUUCCAGGGCUGACACAGGCUUUCUCCCGCUUUCUGUUUCUUGGGUUGUCUCAGUGGGAUGUGUUUUUGAAGGAAAAGAAAGAGGUAAGUUUGCUUAGCUCUUUCCCUGCUGUUGGGCUCAGGAGUUGUGUCCAAGUUUUCAAUGUUACAGGUGACGUGGAGCCCCUGUUUUUAUACUUUUUUAUUGCAAAUAAGACCCCACUCCCAUUCUAACAGUCAGGGCUUAUGUUGAGCACCUGUGAGCAUCUGGCUGACUAAGCAGUGCUGAUCUGACUGGCAUUGGACCCGCACAGCAGCAGUCAGGAGACUACAGAUGGGAGCGGUUGGCGAGGAGGCAGAGCCUUGAAAUGGAGACCAAGUCGCCUGCUGUGGCUUGGGCCAAGGCCUUCUCUUUCUUCUAAAAGAUGCCUUUCUAGUGCUAGGCCUUUCCCGUUUGCUGUCACCCUCCUCUUCCUGGGAACAGGAAGUGUCAAAGCUUGCAUAGAUCCAGAACAGUGGGUCAUGGCCACUGUCCUGGUGAGAGAAGGACCACGAUGGGGCCAGCUGGGCACUAGUAUUGGGAUAAAAGCCCCUGUGGUUUCUGUUUUCCUUUCUCCUGUUACACGUAGGCUGGUGAGUGCAGAUUUCAGCAACUUUUUCUCUUGUGAUCACAUCUGAACUCUGGGGUUUGGUUGUUGGAGGGGUGAAAUCAAGCAGAUGUGAAGACCUAAGUCUGUCAAACUUUGCAGGCCUAAUUAGAUUUUGAGAAAGGGGUACUUCCUGUGGCUGAGCCCAGGAGGCUUAUGAUCUGCACUGGUGUAUUAUUCUAUGCACAUCUUCUCUAAUACCCUUACGAGGAGGGGUAUUUGGUUAAGAUCAGGGUUUAGGUAUUUUUGGGUCUCCUAACCAUGCUUAUAACCUUGUAAUAGUGCCAGAAUUGUACCAUUCCUUUAAGAACAGAUUUAGGAAACUGAGUCAAGGAAACAGUUAAUCUCUUCAGGAAGAGUAGUUGUUCUAACAUCAGAGCUCAGGAGGUAGCUGGAUGCACCUCAAUAGACAAUUCCCAACUUCAGUUGACUUGAUUUUUUUUUUGAUUAGUGGGAGAACAUUUUGAAAAGUACAUAAGUAAUACAUGGAUACACUCAUAGUAAAAUCAGAGUAAAAGGGGAGAAUUUGCCUUUGUUACAACCUUGCCCCACCCUGUGCCCCCCUUAGAAGCUGGGUGAACUGAUUCAGCAUGUACUCUUCCAGGCCGCCAUAUUCUGUGCCCUUGUAAAUCUUCACGUGUACAAAUACAGUAUAUAGAUUUUAAGGUUUUGUUUGUUUUACAUAAAUAGCAUCAUAUAUUCUUCCAUUUGUAAUAAUUGGUGACCAUUUUCAAGAAACUAGUGUCAGAGACAAAUGCUGCUGCCAAAUGCAGGGUAUGUGGGGGUGGAGACGACACCUUGGGUCAACAUGUCUUUGGGGAGUUAAUAAAUUUGUAUAGCUUUUUACAAUUUGUCAAGAUGCCCUUUCAGCUUUUUCCAAAAGUGGAAUUAAAGGCAUUUUUGUAAUUGUCGUACCAUGCCAAAUAGCUUUCCAGAAGGACUGAGCCACGUUACGUGGUUAUCAGCAACAUGAAUGUAUCCUGGGGUCUCCAUCUUUAGUUAGCUUGUUUCCUUGCUGGGUACAUAAUGAUACCUUUAGUUUACUUUUCCUUGAUUGUUGGCAAG